rnacentral:lncRNA from 1 species
CGAGAGCCCCCCCCCUCCCUGGCCCCAAAUUGGACCCCCCAUAAGGCCCCCCCCCCCAGACAAGCCCCGACUUGCCCCCGGGGGCGGGGCGCUGACGUCACCGUUUGGGGGCGUGGCCAAAGCGGAGGUGGGCGGGGCCGAAAGGAGCGCUGCCGCCACGGGGAGAGCGCAGCGCUACAUGCGGUGCGCCCCCCCCGGGCGCCAUGGCCGGAGCCGGAGCGGUGCGGGACGCGGAGCCCAACGCGUUGCGGGGCUGCGGGGGGGCGGUGAGCUGCGGGGCCCCCCCCGGAAACAGCACAGCUCGGUGGGAACCACGUGGCAGCGGAGCAGCUGUGCCCCCCCCGCCGCCGGACCCCCCCCAGGUUGGAGCAGGAGUUGGGCGCCCGCCUGCGCCGUUUGGGGGACGCCUUCCAGCAGGCACAUGAGCUGCAGCCCCCCCGCCCACACGGAGGCACUUUUUGGGGCCACGUCUUCCAGGUGGUGUCUCAGCUGCUGGGGGUCCUCUACAACCUACAUGCGGCCGCGCUGCCCCCCGGCAGCACCAGUGACCCCCCGAGGCCCCCCCACCCCCUAUUUAUUUAUUUAUUGUGCCAUUGAGAGGGGGUGGGGGGGGGGGGGGAGGUUGGGGGCUGAAUCUUAAGCACUGCCCCAUUGCAUCCUGUACAUGUGUAUGAUGGAAUGUACAUCUUGGGGGGGGCUCUGUAUAUCUGGGGGGGG